AGUUGCGUAAGCGGUGGCGGGAACUGCGCGUGCGCAAAGCCACGCCCCGAGCGGCCGCGCCUCCUCUCUGGGCCACGCCCACUGUGCGCGCGGCUGCUGGGCACGCCCCUCCCCCGGUAACGGGGAUCCCGGUAAUGGGGAUCCCGGUAAUGGGAAUCCUCGUGGGCCCCGGUAAUGGGGGAUCCCGGUAAUGGGGAUCCUCGUGGGCCCCGGUAACGGGGAUCCCGGUAAUGGGGAUCCCGGUAAUGGGAAUCCUCGUGGGCCCCGGUAACGGGGAUCCCGGUAAUGGGGGAUCCCGGUAACGGGGGAUCCUGGUGGGCCCCGGUAAUGGGGGAUCCCGGUAACGGGGGAUCCCGGUAACGGGGGAUCCUGGUGGGCCCCGGUAAUGGGGAUCCCGGUAAUGGGGGAUCCCGGUAACGGGGGAUCCCGGUAACGGGGGAUCCCGGUAAUGGGGGAUCCCAGUAAUGGGGAUCCUGGUAACGGGGGAUCCCGGUAAUGGGGGAUCCCGGUAAUGGGGAUCCCGGUGGGCCCCGGUAACGGGGGAUCCCGGUAGUGGGGGAUCCUGGUAAUGGGGGAUCCUGGUGGGCCCCGGUAAUGGGGGAUCCCGGUAACGGGGGGUCCCGGUAAUGGGGGAUCCCAGUAAUGGGGAUCCCGGUAACGGGGGAUCCCGGUAACGGGGGAUCCUGAUGGACCCCGGUAAUGGGGGAUCCCGGUAAUGGAGGAUCCCGGUAA